rnacentral:rRNA from 1 species
GGACAGAAAGACCCUAUGAAGCUUUACUAUAACUUGGCAUUGGGUUCGGGCUUGGUUUGCGCAGUAUAAGUGGGAGGCGUUGAUUUUUUCCUUCCGGGGAAAAAGGAGCCAACAAUGAGAUACCACUCUAAUCAAGCUAGACCCCUAACUUUAAACCUUUAACAGGUUAAAGGACAUUGUCAGGCGGGUAGUUUUUCUGGGGCGGAAGCCUCCUAAAAGGUAACGGAGGCGUGCAAAGAUUUCC